UCAACUUGAGAGUUUGAUCCUGGCUCAGAACGAACGCUGGCGGCAGGCUUAACACAUGCAAGUCGAGCGCCCCGCAAGGGGAGCGGCAGACGGGUGAGUAACGCGUGGGAACGUACCAUUUGCUACGGAAUAACUCAGGGAAACUUGUGCUAAUACCGUAUGAGCCCGAAAGGGGAAAGAUUUAUCGGCAAAUGAUCGGCCCGCGUUGGAUUAGCUAGUUGGUGGGGUAAAGGCCUACCAAGGCGACGAUCCAUAGCUGGUCUGAGAGGAUGAUCAGCCACACUGGGACUGAGACACGGCCCAGACUCCUACGGGAGGCAGCAGUGGGGAAUAUUGGACAAUGGGCGCAAGCCUGAUCCAGCCAUGCCGCGUGAGUGAUGAAGGCCCUAGGGUUGUAAAGCUCUUUCACCGGUGAAGAUAAUGACGGUAACCGGAGAAGAAGCCCCGGCUAACUUCGUGCCAGCAGCCGCGGUAAUACGAAGGGGGCUAGCGUUGUUCGGAUUUACUGGGCGUAAAGCGCACGUAGGCGGGCUAAUAAGUCAGGGGUGAAAUCCCGGGGCUCAACCCCGGAACUGCCUUUGAUACUGUUAGUCUUGAGUAUGGUAGAGGUGAGUGGAAUUCCGAGUGUAGAGGUGAAAUUCGUAGAUAUUCGGAGGAACACCAGUGGCGAAGGCGGCUCACUGGACCAU
rnacentral:rRNA from 1 species